rnacentral:rRNA from 1 species
GACGAACGCUGGCGGCGUGCUUAACACAUGCAAGUCGAACGAAGAGCGAUGGAAGCUUGCUUCUAUCAAUCUUAGUGGCGAACGGGUGAGUAACGCGUAAUCAACCUGCCCUUCAGAGGGGGACAACAGUUGGAAACGACUGCUAAUACCGCAUACGAUCCAAUCUCGGCAUCGGGACUGGAUGAAAGGUGGCCUCUAUUUAUAAGCUAUCACUGAAGGCGGGGAUUGCGUCUGAUUAGCUAGUUGGAGGGGUAACGGCCCACCAAGGCGAUGAUCAGUAGCCGGUCUGAGAGGAUGAACGGCCACAUUGGGACUGAGACACGGCCCAGACUCCUACGGGAGGCAGCAGUGGGGAAUCUUCCGCAAUGGACGAAAGUCUGACGGAGCAACGCCGCGUGAGUGAUGACGGCCUUCGGGUUGUAAAGCUCUGUUAAUCGGGACGAAUGGUUCUUGUGCGAAUAGUGCGAGGAUUUAACGGUACCGGAAUAGAAAGCCACGGCUAACUACGU